rnacentral:rRNA from 1 species
ACUCAAAUGAAUAGACGGGGGCCCGCACAAGCGGUGGAGCAUGUGGUUCAAUUCGACGCAACGCGAAGAACCUUACCCAGGCUUGAACAGCAAAUGACCAGUCCCGAAAGGGGCCUUCCGCAAGGACAUUUGUAGAGGUGCUGCAUGGCUGUCGUCAGCUCGUGUCGUGAGAUGUUGGGUUAAGUCCCGCAACGAGCGCAACCCUUGUCUACUGUUGCCAUCAGGUUAUGCUGGGCACUCUGUAGAGACUGCCGGUGAUAAACCGGAGGAAGGUGGGGAUGACGUCAAGUCAGCAUGGCCUUUAUGUCUGGGGCUACACACGUGCUACAAUGGCCGGUACAAACCGUCGCAAACUCGCAAGGGUGAGCUAAUCGGAGAAAGCCGGUCUCAGUUCGGAUCGUAGGCUGCAACUCGCCUGCGUGAAGUUGGAAUCGCUAGUAAUCGCGGAUCAGCACGCCGCGGUGAAUACGUUCCCGGGCCUUGCACACACCGCCCGU